rnacentral:lncRNA from 1 species
GUCGCCCAGGCUGGAGUGCAGUGGCGCAAUCUCGGCUCACUGCAAGCUCCGCCUCCAGGGUUCACGCCAUUCUCCUGCCUCAGCCUCCCGAGUAGCUGGGACUACAGGCGCCUGCCACCAUGCCCUGCUAAUUUUUUUUUUGUAUUUUUAGUAGAGACAGGGUUUCACCGUGUUAGCCAGGACGGUCUCGAUCUCCUCACCUCGUGAUCUGCCUGCCUUGGCCUCCCAAAGUGCUGGGAUUACAGGCGUGAGCCACCGUGCCCGGCUCUUUCCUCCUGCUUUUUUCCUACACUCUCUCCUCCCUCCUCUCCUCCCUCUUUCUCCUGUUUGAUUUCCACCUCUUUUCUCUCCUCUCUCCUCUGAAUCUGCCUCUUCCUCUUCUCACCUCCCUCUUCCUUCCCUGUCUCUCCCCCUUGGGUCUCUCUUCCUUCCCUCUCUCUGGUUUCUCUGUCUCUGCCCUGUCCUUUCCUUUCCCUCCUCUCUGGACCUGUCUCCUCUCCUGGCUCUCUCUCCUUCAAGCUCUCACUCCCACUGGCCUCCCUCCCGGGAGCCCCGUCUCCUCCGUCUCCAGGUGGCCCCUGCAUCCCUGCCUGGUGGGCCUUUGCCUCCCUCUCCUGUUCCUGCCUUGCCUGCUCCCAGGUUUCCAGGUCCUGACCAGGAGGCAGGAGUCCAUACCGAGGCCCAAACAGGCUAGCCCUGAGCAGGGCCCCCAAGCCUGAGGCCCAGGAGUGGACAGACCUUUGUGACACCCAUUCUCUCUUCCUUUUCCAUCUGUCCGGAACUCUGGACACUGCCUGGAGGAAUCAGGCCUGCCGUAGGCCCAGGAAGGCGGAAACAAAGACGACGCUCAGAGACAGGAAGCAACUUGCCUAAAGAUACACAGCACAAAUGAGAAAAUUGGUGCCCAAUGUUUCUGAAGACCAGCAACUGCUAAGACAGAGACUUCGAGGGAACCCGACCUUGCCUGAAGGACCAACAGCGCCCCCUGCAGGACACUUCCCUCCAUUGAGAGAAGCCACAGGCGCCGGCCUGAGGCAUUCUGAGUGCGUGGAAUCCUCUAUUACCACCUCCUGGCAAAGAACGGAGCUGCAACCCAGCUAUAUGAGACACCGAGAAUGAUCUCAACAAAAAGGAACAGUGACCAGAAUGCCUGGGGGAGGAACAGGGGAUACUGGGUGGAAGGAGGGGAGAGGGAGAAGUUGUAAUAUUUUGUAAAAAUGAACAUUUUUACUCCUAAUCAAUAUACAAACAUCAUGCUCAGCAAACUUCUUGGUAUGAAACUUCUGAACUUCACACAUUUUCAAGUCAUUCUAUGGGUGGGUGGAUUGGCUCCCAUGGAAAUGCAACUGGGACUGCACAUGGGAAACAAAGGAAAAUGGAAUUUGGUUCACACAAACCUGUUUGGGAGAUUGCAUUUCCAGGAAAUGGGCCAAAUUGAGUUUGUUUCCUUUGUAACAACAUUGUUGUGCCUUGCUGACUGGAAGGUGGGUACAAAUAAAGGAGGAUGGACUGACA